rnacentral:rRNA from 1 species
AUACGGGAGGCAGCAGUGUGGAAUAUUGGGCAAUGGGCGCAAGCCUGACCCAGCAACGCAGCGUGAGGGAAGAAGGUCUUCGGAUUGUAAACCUCUGUCCUUGGGGACGAAAAAAAUGACGGUACCCGAGGAGGAAGCUCCGGCUAACUACGUGCCAGCAGCCGCGGUAAUACGUAGGGAGCAAGCGUUGUCCGGAAUUACUGGGCGUAAAGGGUGCGUAGGCGGUUUGGAAAGUCAGAUGUGAAAUCCCCGGGCUUAACUCGGGUGUUGCAUUUGAAACUUCCAGACUUGAGUGCAGGAGAGGAAAGCGGAAUUCCUAGUGUAGCGGUGAAAUGCGUAGAUAUUAGGAGGAACACCAGUGGCGAAGGCGGCUUUCUGGACUGUAACUGACGCUGAGGCACGAAAGCGUGGGGAGCAAACAGGAUUAGAAACCCCGGUAGUCCG